rnacentral:lncRNA from 12 species
AGUCAAUCCAUGCUGUUGCAAAUGGCACGAUCUCAUCCUUUCUUUUGCUGAGUAUUAUUCCCUCAUGUAUAUAUAUAUCACAUUUUCCCUGUCCAUUCAUCUAGCAACAUCUAUUAUAUUGCUUCCAUAUCUUGGCUAUUGUAAAUAAUGCUGCAAUAAAUCUAGGGGUGCAUAUAAUUUUUCAAAUUAGUAUUUAUAUUUUAUUUGGAUGGUUAUUCAGUAGUGGACUUAUUGAAUCAUAUGUAUUUCUGUUUUUAAUUUGUUGAGGAACCUCCAUAUUGUUUUCCACAGUGGUUAUACCAUUUUACAUCUUGGGAGGGUAUCUUGACUAUAUGGAUCACAUAUUUGAGGUGAUAGCCGGCAAACUCCAGCUACAAUGAUGUAAACACUCUACAUAAUGCAGAGGGUUGUUUAAGAGAUGCCAUUUUGGAAGGUAAAACAAAUAGUUUGACAGUUUUUACACUUGAUCAAGACCUGGGGGAGAUGUUCAUCUUCAUUGUGGAAAUAGCUCUUUAGAACAUAUUUAACCUGACAGUUGUACUACACUCCGUUUAUGCAUUGCUCCAGAUCAGCUCUGUCACAUCUGCCUGUCUCUAACCCCCCGAUCCUUGAGUGUUUCCCUGCUUUCCAGCUGAAUCAACUCCCAGUGACAGCUGACAUGCUUCUGUGAGUGUAAAGCUCUGGUGCCACAUACUCAUCUUCUAAUGCCUGGUUUUGUUUUAGCUUCCCAUGUGGAUGAGCACUGGGCUCCACCAUACAUAGUUUUCACUGAUUCCAUAGAAACAUGCAGCAGGUGGUUUUCAAUAAAGGAGAAUAAACAGUUAAUCAACAAGUCAUUUGUUAAGCACCCUCUGCAUUUAAUAUUGUGCUCAUGGCAUCAAGGGAUGCAAAAGAAAUGGAAGACCUAUUUUCUGCCUUAAGACAACCAUAAUGUAGUUUGAAAUAGUGAAGCAGUCCAUACACAGGAAGCAACUGUUACUUCUUGAGUUAUUCUUGUGCUAUUCUUCUCCUCUUCAACCUUCAUCUAGG